AUGGGGAGAUUUUUCUGAGACAUCUGUUACCCCAUGAUCGCCAGGGCUGUCUGGGCCGAUUUGGCUGGCAUGCCGCCUCUCCCCGUAAA
rnacentral:sRNA from 1 species